ACCGAGACAGGGUUCAGUAGUAGCGGUCAUACAGGGGGUGGAGUCCGUAACAGGGUUUGUGGUGCGUAACGGUGGUGGAGGUGGCUGGCUAAGGCGAGUGGGAAAUGCAUGGGCUCAACAUGGGGAUUUCCGGCGAUACUGGAGAACUAGAGUUCGGUAGAGGGGGAAGGAAUUCCCGGUGUAGCUGGGAAAUGCGUAGAUAUCGGGAGGAACAUCGAUGGCGAAGGCAAUCACCUGGGCCUGAGCUGACACUGAGACACGAAAGCGUGGGUAGCAAACAGGAUUAGAUACCCUAGUAGUC
rnacentral:rRNA from 1 species